rnacentral:lncRNA from 1 species
GGGUGAUUGUUUUCUGUGUCUGUGUGUUCCACACGGAACUGUUUCCGUUUUCCUGUCUGUCUUUUAAUUUGUUAUUUUGUAUUUCCGUGUUCAGUGUUUUUGUUCAUUAAAACAUGAAGAACCCGUACCACGCUGCAUAUUGGUCCGAUCCCGUUACACCCAUAGACUACUUUCAGGAUCAACACCAUCAUGUACUCAGACAGAGUGCUGGUGAUGCAUUCUGGGAAGGUGGUGGAGUUUGACAGCCCUACUGAUCUGUGUCAAAGAGACGACUCCAUUUUCUUCAAGCUGGAGACCAGUGGUGGAUGGAAUCGGUGGACCAACCAACCACCCGUCCAAUGGCGGUGGUAGAAGUUGGCCCUAUAAAAAUUACUGGUCCAGGGUUAGAUUUUUUAAAUCCCCAUGAGCGUUAAGGUUAGGAUUGGGGUAGGGAAAUCUGAUCCUAGAUCUGUGGUUAAGUGCGGAGACUUCUUCCUCGCUCGAGGCUCACCGACUGACAUUUGACCUUUGACCUCAGAGAGUAAGGUAUGAAUAAUCCAACCCAAGCAAGAUUAUUAUUUUAUUAUCUUUUAGGAAGUCGGGUUAAUUUUCUAGCUUUUUAUUCAUGAAACGCGUUAAUGUGGUACGAAAGAACUGAUGAUGUGUCAAUAGCACAGAGGUAAUGAAGAAACAAUGAAUAAGUACUUUAAUUGCUUUUGUAUGAAGGGAGUAUACUAUAGCACUAUAAUGGAUUUUGGCUGAAAAGUUGUCAUCCUAGACAGGUCAGUCAUUCACUUUGCAGCAUCAUCAAUCAUUUAUGAAUGUCUGAGAUUUCUCUUGCACCUGGUCUGUUGGCAGUAUGAUCUGUAUAGCUAGAGUGCACAAUAAUGGACAUUCUUCACAUAGAUAAAAUGCAU